ensembl:lncRNA
UGUAAAUGACUCAACUUGGAUAUUAUUAGCUCAUCUUCACUCACUGUGGCGCUGAUCAGCUUUGACGUCACUCAUAAUCAUCUGGUGCAAGCGCCUGCAGCCACAGCUCCUCCACCGUGGAUGCUGCGAUGCAAAUCAUCUGAAAUGUUUUGAGGCCGUUUGGCUCAUAAUUUAAAUUAUAAAGAGACAUUCAUUUAUCUGUUUUAUUACUCUCUUUUUUUGUUGUUUUUUUUGGGAAAGGCUGCUGGGAUGAGUCCGAGUUAGAAAAGAGACACACAAUAACCAAACAAACAAAAAGCACGGGCUCAGAAACAACAAAACAAGCACUUUACAUCGUUUUUGAGGAUUCUCCAAACACAUUAAGCAGCCAGUCUUACACAAAUCAUCAGCAUGAAUAAAAUCCCAGUGAAUUUGGAGGGUUGAGGGGAUUCAGACAGAGAGGGGAAAAAAAAGAAAAAAAAAGGGGGGGGGGGGGGGGGGGCUCUAAGCCUCUGAAGCCCCAGAAUCUUACUGCAACUAUGGGAUGUGCUUGGAGGUGAUUUGGUAUCGUUGCUCUGGUUAUGGAUGGGGGGAGGGAUCUGGUAAAGCAGUGGUUCUCAAACUUUUUAUGGCAUGCCCAUCUUAAAAAUGCCCACGGCCCCAUGUCACAAGCUACAGCGGACAACUUCAAAUGUUGAGUUUUUCACCCUUUAAAACUGAAAAAUAUUAAUUGUUGGUGUUUUGUAUUAUGUAAUUUGUCGGUAGAAUCACACUGGGGGAAAAAAAAUUAAAGGUGAAAGUCUACAGAAAUGUAAAAAAACAAAAAACAAAACAAAAAAUGUGAAAGUUUGUAUUCUGAAACAACAGAAAACAUGAAAAACUGCAAUUAGAAACAUAAAAAUAAGAAACACCCCCCAAACCCAAAAUUAUGUGUGUCCAGAAACUCAAGUAGAAAUCUGAAUAUCAGAAUAAACUCUAUACUACUAUACUUCUAUUUUCUCUACAAAAAUCAUCCUGAUUUAGUUUCAUUCCAUACGUCCCCUCUGGACAUCCACGCCCCACAGCUUGAGAACCACUGCCAUAGAAAGGGACCCUUGGGUCCAUCUGUGCUAAAGCUCAACAAGCAGCACCACUUUGCCCUGCCCCCCAAAAAAGACCCUGAGUGGACACACAACUGCAUGUUUGUUGAAGCCAGCGCCCAGUUACAUCAGCAGUUUAUGCUCAGAUGUUUUUCAGAUGUUAAUUUUCUGUAAAUGUUGCAGCUAAAGGAAGGUUUCAACAAUUCAGGCUUUUUCCAUAUUCUUAGUUCUGCAGGAGAAACCGCAGAGAGGGAUUAAACCAUCUCCUUUACACUGAUCAUAGAGACAUUUGAUUAAUAUCUCAACUUGAAACGAAAGCAUAUCAGCAUAUUAAAAAGUAAUUAAAAAAGUUUCUAAUUAUUAAGGAAUUUGUGAUUUAUUAUUUUUAUUUGUGCACAUUAACAGGAUACUUUGUCAUUUAAGUUGGUGUGGCCCAAGGCAUGAAGUCACAUGUGGAAAAAAAAUAAAAAAGAAGUAAUGGAAAGACGAGGUGCGAUUCAUCCAAUCAACAAUCAAAACAGAAUCCUGGUUUUAGGUGGGUCCAUCUUUUAAAUAUUUAUGUUUUUCUGUUUUCAGAUCGUUCUGGAUGUUUGAACACCUGAACACAGACUUUAAAAUAAAAAUCUGAGUUAUUCCCACGAUUUUUAUCUUUCAACAACAACAACAACAACAAAAUAAGACCCGUGAACACGUGAGGUUAAAACAGAGUGACUGCUCGUGUUUUUCUCCGACUUCUCGUCUGUUGUAUUUACUUUAUUGUUUUCCCAACAAUAAAUAAAAACACAAACAGCAUAAAAAACAAACAGAAACACAGACACAUGGAAACAACAAACAGACACACAUUAGUUCAUAAAAGGCAAACAUUAAAAUGAAAAGGCAGGUUCAUUUAGAUCAGAUGUAAUGCGCCAUCUGCAAGUUGCCUUUUAAUAGCAGGAAUACAAAAGCAAACCUUUUAAACCAUUAAAAAAAAAAAUACUAAGAUCUCAGGAUACAAAAGGUGUUUGCACUCUUAAAUCAAUGACUGGUAUUUUUUACCCAGACAUUUUGAGUCUAAUGGUGUGUUCAGAGUAAGUGCAAAGCGAGGUUUUGCCUCAUGAAUGAAGUCACUUUAGCACUUUUUAUUAUUUUUUUUAUGUGGACAAUGUGGCCACUAGCAGCAAGCAAGACAACUACUUUUAUCCAGACUGCAGCAGAUACAGAUCCCUCCCUUUUUUCUGUAUAUAUAAAAGAGAAUCUCCAGAUGCUCACAAACGAUUAGAUUUUCCUCCUUUUCUGAUCACUUGUGGCAUCAGGAGAGCACAUGGGAGGGGUCGAACAAAUAGGGUUAAAAUUUGCUUUAAUGGACAGUGUUUAAGAUUACAGUCCUCAUCUUUGAGGGUUAAAGUACCGCAGAACUGACGCUGGCUCACUUGUUUACACUUUCGCCAUCAUAAAGAUCUGCUAAGUUUUAAGGGGCCUUCAAACAGGAAGGGCUGCUUGCAAGGGUGCGGUCCAGGCUCCGGUUGCAUGUACCACCUCCUCAUGUCAACCAACAGUAUCCUUUACUCUUAUUAGUACUUGCUUCAAUUUGCCUUGACUGCAAAGCCUAGAAAAGCUUUGAUCUGGUAUCUCUAAGUUUAAGUGGCUUUUUAUGAUUUCUGGUCGCAGUGACGUUGCUGCUAGUCGCUUCCUGGGUGGACGCCCCUCGAGAACCAGCGGGCAAAUCCUGUUGUACAGCAAGGGUGGCGACGCUUACACAUCUAGUUGAUUAAUCGCUAGCAUACCCGUUACAAACAUACAAGAACGUAUUUUCGCCUCUCUGAGCGCUACAGGGUGCAAACUUUGCUUUGCGUUUACCCCAAACACACCACAACAUUCCUGCUUCUCUGUAGUGAGAUAAAACCGUUUUCAGAUCUUAGGAGUCGACUUUUUUGAACUGAAUGCUAGCGGACAGAAAUGAUGUGCAAAAAAACAAAAAAUAAUGUAAAAGAUGUAAAAAACAAAAACAAAACACACAACCUUUAACCCUCAAGCAACCAAGCUCUUAACUACAUGGGAACACAUUUUGUACGGCUCUGUCCAAGUUUGUGGGGUUUUCUUGACCUGUGAUGAAAUUUUCUAAUAAUUAAUAAUAAUUAUGGUUUUAAAUCACUUUUAUCCACUUACAAAAAUGCAAGUCACUAGUAGUAGCCACAACAAAAAGAGAGGAAGAAAAAAAAAAGUGGAGAUUAAAAGUGAAAAAUUCUAACAAAUAACAUUGCAAAACAGAACUCUACAUCAUCUUUGCAGCACCAGUUCCAAUAAAGAACAAUGAAAAGUUGCAGAAGUAGAUGGACGAACUUGUUUUCCCACACAUGUAUAAAUACACAGCACUCGGUCACUUGAAGGUUAAAGAACUCAGAGCCUUGGAAUCCAUUCACACUUCUAGUGCAAAGUGUAUAUAACGACUCUUCCCAUACUGUGACACGCUGCAUGUAACUGGGCGCCGGGCUGUAAAAAGGCAUUUUCAUGUACUUCGUCAGGCUUUAGUAAGCACGUACUUAUGAGUUAUUCAUCAGCGAAAUGUAUGUUGAAGAGCAGAGUCAUUACAACUACAAUGCAAAGCUUUUCCCUCCUUUAAAAAUGAUGCAAAAUGGCGUGAUGAGAAAAUGAAGAAGGAAACCUCCUCUCAUUUUACUGAGGGCUCGCAUUCUCAUAGAGAUCAAGUCUGCCUCACUCUGCAGCUCAGUUUGACGGAGAGAGAGGAAAAAAACAAACAAAACAACAACAACAACAACAAAAAUGAAAACAGCGGGCUGCUUUGAAAAGGAGAAGCAGCUCCUCAUUUAGCACGGUAAACAAGAAGCUUUGAAGUCAGCCAUUUAAAAUAGGAUUUACAUGAAUAAAUAAAUCGCUCACUGAUGUGAGGCAGAAGGCUUUGGGUAAUCGUCUGUGAUUCUAACACACAUGACACUGCAAAUAACACUGCGAGGUUCAAGUCUGGGAAUUAUUAAUAAAUACCACCUGCUCCGGUCUGCGCUGCGCCUUUGUUCAAACUUUGCUCGGCGGUCGCGAAGAAUGAAAGUCGCUUUAUUCGAUGAGGCGACGGAUGACGAGAGUUUAUAUUAAACGCCAUUUUAUUGAUGUCAUCGUUCACGUCGGUGACGGAGCGUCUCCGUCUGUACAAAUUAACGACGACAUACUCGUCCGUCUCGCCCGGCUUGUAGAUGUGCGUCGCAACUCUGUGCUUCACCUCGAUCUCUUUGAAAUAUAUUAAAAUAACAGUUAAAACUCUCACUAGGGACGGGGUUGGAUAGCAUUUCAAGUGUCAGAUCUCCAGUAACGAAAAGCUGCUGUUUUUAGUGGCAGCUUGAUUAAAUAAACAUGAGCCGAGCAGCAUAAAGUAUGAAAUAUUAAUUAAAUGUAUGUGACACAUUUAAUUAAAAGCUGCAGGCUACUGUACUUCACCAGCGACUCUAAAACGCUCGGGGUGAUUUAACGAGGCAAAAAACAGCACCGACUCCACGCUGGAGCGUUGCAGAGGUGAGAGAACGGCCUGUCGUAUAAAUAUGUUUGUUUAUAAGCGAAAUUCACGAGUGGCCCGGAUCACUGGGGAUAAAAACACUCAUCUGAGCUGAACUUGAACAAGUCCGGCAGGUAAAUACGAGACUAUAACAACAUGAUGCUAACACAGCUUUCAUGAAACUGUACUGGACUGUAUGCCUGUGUAGUUUUACUGGUGUUGUUUGCAAGCUUCAGCCCGAAUCAGAGUUUAAAAUAUCGAAUAUCACACUUUAACUGGUGCCCGUGUUCUUCCUGCAGGUCUCUAUCCACGAUCGCCCUCUGCUCUGCUGCUGGCUCUAUUUUUCAGACAUUUCUUUUACAGAAAGUUGAAAAGACGACAUAAUUUGCAGGCCAAGCAGGAAGUUCAUGUCGCCGUAUGUGCCUCAACAACCAAAAACGCCAGAAAAAU